rnacentral:rRNA from 1 species
GCGCGUAGGUGGUUUGUUAAGUUGGAUGUGAAAGCCCCGGGCUCAACCUGGGAACUGCAUCCAAAACUGGCAAGCUAGAGUACGGUAGAGGGUGGUGGAAUUUCCUGUGUAGCGGUGAAAUGCGUAGAUAUAGGAAGGAACACCAGUGGCGAAGGCGACCACCUGGACUGAUACUGACACUGAGGUGCAAAAGCGUGGGGAGCAAACA